UACGGAGGGUCCGAGCGUUUUUCGGAAUUAUUGGGCGUAAAGAGCGUGUAGGCGGCCUAUUAAGUUGAAAGUGAAAUCCCAAAGCUUAACUUUGGAACUGCUUUCAAAACUAAUUGGCUAGAGUUCGGUAGGAGAUGAUGGAAUUCUUGGUGUAGGGGUGUAAUUCUUAGAUAUCAGGAGGAACACCGGUGGCGAAAGCGAUCAUCUGGGCCAUAUCUGACGCUGAGGCGCGAAAGCGUGGGGAGCAAACAGG
rnacentral:misc_RNA from 1 species